GCUGAUUUUGAUGUACGUAGUGUUGUUAUUUUACUUAACACCGAUCAACUGUUCUUGUGUUGUGCUGAUGAGUGUGCCUUUGCAUAAGUAUGCAGGUAUGACCCACGAUCUUUCUAUAUAUUGCGCAGAAAAUGCAUGGCGGCAGAAGAAAAGCGAAAACUUGCAUGAUGGUUUUCCCAACAUUUUGGAUUUUUGGAUUAUAAAACUCUUGCAGGGAAUGAGCGAUAUGUAUGAC